GAUGAACGCUAGCGGCAGGCUUAAUACAUGCAAGUCGAGGGGUAGCAAGAUUGUAGCAAUACAAUUGUUGACGACCGGCAAACGGGUGCGGAACACGUACACAACCUUCCUACAAGUGGGGAAUAGCCCAGAGAAAUUUGGAUUAAUACCCCGUAACACAGCGAUGUGGCAUCACAUUGAUAUUCUAGCUUUGGAGCUUGUUGAUGGGUGUGCGGCUGUUUAGAUAGUUGGCGGGGUAACGGCCCACCAAGUCUACGAUCAGUAGCUGAUGUGAGAGCAUGAUCAGCCACACGGGCACUGAGACACGGGCCCGACUCCUACGGGAGGCAGCAGUAAGGAAUAUUGGACAAUGGACGCAAGUCUGAUCCAGCCAUGCCGCGUGAAGGAUUAAGGUCCUCUGGAUUGUAAACUUCUUUUAUAAGGGACGAAAAAAGGUCUUUCUAGAUCGUCUGACGGUACCUUAUGAAUAAGCACCGGCUAACUCCGUGCCAGCAGCCGCAGUAA
rnacentral:rRNA from 1 species